CAGAGCAUGAGCAGGGGAGGGGCAGAGAGAGAGGCAGACACAGAAUCUGAAGCAAGUUCCAGGCUCUGGGCUGUCAGCACAGAGGCCAACGCAGGGCUCGAACUCACGAACUGCGAGAUCAUGACCUGAGCUGAAGUCAGACGCUUAACCGACUGAGCCACCGAGGCGCCCCUGGGCUCUUCUUUUUCAUUGGUUCAUUCACCUAUUCAUCAGGGUGCCAUCUGGAGGCAGACAUCAGCCAGGAGCAAACUAAGUCCUUGCCCUCGGCAGCUCAAAGUUUAGUGGUGGAAGGAGAGGACAACCGGACAAACACCAGUGCAGGAGUGAACCAAAAUCUUCACCCUGGUGUGGCUUGCUACUCUAGCAGUAAAAACAGGCCCUCCACAAGCCCCACGGCAGGGGUGGUGAUUCCGUAGAACUACUCUGUAGGGUUGCCACGAGGAUUCAAUGACACACAUGAGGCACUCAGCUCCAAGCCCAGCGCUGUGUAAAUGCCCUGUCCAUGGGGCACGUGAGCCAGCAGACUCAAGAAUCUUAGACUGGAGCCUGGCUGAGGGUCCUGCGAAUGGUCAGGAAAGCUGGUCUCUGAGCCCGGUCAAGGCUAAGUAGAUGGCAGGUGCUCCGUCAGCUGAUGACAGGCCCAGAGGGACCAACGGCUAUGGCAAAGUGAGGUUCAAAACCAGGAAACCCAGAGGAGAACCUGGCUCUGCUGAGGACUACCUGGGAGGCCAGGACAAGUUGCCACCUCUCCGGGCUCCUGGGUAAGAACGGGGGGGCCUGCCUUACCUCCUCCCUACGGGGUCCCUGCAAACACCAAAAAUGGCCAGCACAGAUUUCCUAGGAAAUCUUUUGGGAACAGUGUCUGCCUCUCAGACCCAGCGUGAGGCUCCCUGGAGCUGGAGGCAGGAGCCACUCCUCCACCAGGGUCUCCAUUCCCUGCCUGAGAAGAAAGAGGAAAAGCAGAAACCACCACAGUUUUGCAACGACACACAGCUGGUCUCCAAGACCCUCCCUUAGGCAUGAGCCAGCCACCUCUUGGAUGGCGGCUACUUCCCCUUCUGCCCCACGUCUGCCCCCCAAGACGGGGCCCACCCAGGAGGGUGGGGCGGCCCCUCCCGGCAGCCCUGGGACUUCAGGCUGCCUGAAUGGUGUUUACAGGAGGCAUCCCCUGACAGGUGGGGGGCUGCCUCCGACAGCUCAAAGGGGCUUUUCCCCAUGCAGUCUCUUCUAAUGCAAACACUCCUCUGUCCUUCUCCUGUUUCACAAGGAUCAGAAGCAAGGGCAGCAGGCAGGAAGGUGGGGCCUGUUUCAUAAGUUAUCAUCUCCAUAAGGAAAGAGGUCAUUUCUGCUGUAUCCAGAGCUGCACUGCGGGCACAGCUGGCACAGGAAGCACAGGUGAAUCAAUGAAUGGACGGACUUUGCUAGACCGCCUCUUAUGUUUGGGAAAAAAUAACUGGUUUGGGGUGCCUGGGUGGCUCAGUCAGUUAAGUGUCCGACUCUUGAUUUCAGCUCAGGUCAUGAUCUCGGGGUCGCAGCAUCGAGCCCCGCAUCAGGCUCCAUGCUAAGGGUGGAGCCUGCUUAAGAUUCUCUCUCUCUUCCUCUGCCCCAUUCCCCUGCUCGCUUGCUCUCUCAAUCUCUAAAACAAACUAACAAAUAAAUAAAUAAAACUGGGUUUUAAGAAAUAUAUUUGUUGCUUCUCCAAAGAGAUUGUUAAAAAAAAAAAAAAAAGAAAGAAAUAUAUUUGACACAGCGAUUCUCUUUCUAGAAAUAGAUUCCCCCAAAUCAUGUUUAUAAUAUAUAUGGAAGCUUACAGAAGCAUUAUUGGAAAGAGUAAGAAAUUGGAAAGCACCCAGUUGUUGCCAAAGCUGAGCUGGCAAAGGAGUUAGAAAAACUGUGGUGUGGCCCAGCCGUGAACUAGUAUGCAGCCCUUAAAAAAAAUGAGGUUGCAGGGGCACCUGGGUGGCUCAGUCAAGCGUCCAACUCGUGCUUUCGGCUCAGGUCACCAACCCAGGGUCAUGAGAUCGAGCCCCACAUGGGGCUCCACACUGAGUGUAGAGCCUGCUUGAUAGUCUCUCUCCCCCCACCCCCCGGCCCUCUCCCCCACCUAAAAAAAUACAUAUAUCAAAAAAAAAAAAAGGAGAUUGCAUUUGUAUGUACUAACUUGGGACUUCAUCCAUAACAUGUUGCCCUGAACAUGAUGGUGAUUGAUGCAUAUGAUAGAAUGUACAGAAUUCCAGUUGUAUUUUAAAAGAAAGACAUACACAUACUGUGUGCACACAUACACCCACAAACACAGAACAGGGUCUGUGAGGUUAUACAUCAAACCUAAUGGUAACCACCUCCCCAGAAGCAGGAUUUGGGGAGAGCACACAAGGGGGUCUUACAUUUUUCUUUUAAACAUUUUUUUAACGUUUAUUUAUUUAUUUUGAGAGAAAGAGACAGAGAACGCAUGUGCUCCCAAGCCGAAGAGGAGCAGAGAAAGCGAGGGAGAUAAA